rnacentral:tRNA from 1 species
GGGGCUGUAGCUCAGUGGCAGAAUGCUUGCCUAGCAUGCGUGAGGCACUGGGUUCAAUCCUCAGCAGCACCA